UGAAAGCAGCAGCGGUAAUACGGAGGGUGCCCGGGUGUAUCGGAAUUAUUGGGCGUAAAGAGCAUGUAGGCGGACUGUUAAGUCUGAUGUGAGAGCCCGGGGCUCAACCCCGGAAGUGCAUUGGAUACUGGCAGUCUUGAGUAUGGGAGAGGAAAGUGGAAUUCCGAGUGUAGGAGCGAAAUCCGUAGAUAUUCGGAGGAACACCAGUGGCGAAGGCGGCUUUCUGGACCAAUACUGACGCUGAGAUGCUCACGCGUUGGGCGCGAACGGUAUUAGAUC
rnacentral:rRNA from 1 species